rnacentral:lncRNA from 1 species
GAUGUACUCCCCAUCAUCAGUAGAGAUCAUACGACGAACAACUUCAGGAUGACCUGAAAACUUUCGUAUCUUCUUGUGAUCAGAAGAAUUGGAGACCUUUGAUUGAGCCGCUGUCAAAACAAACAUAGAUGAUAUUGCCUUUGUAGAAGCUCUAAAUUUCCCCAAUAGGUUUUCUGUACAGCAGAUACAUCAAGUGCUAAAACAUCAUCACUGCCUGUUUU